UGAUUAGAAGCUUGCUUCUAUGACGUUAGCGGCGGACGGGUGAGUAACACGUGGGCAACCUGCCUGUAAGACUGGGAUAACUUCGGGAAACCGAAGCUAAUACCGGAUAGGAUCUUCUCCUUCAUGGGAGAUGAUUGAAAGAUGGUUUCGGCUAUCACUUACAGAUGGGCCCGCGGUGCAUUAGCUAGUUGGUGAGGUAACGGCUCACCAAGGCAACGAUGCAUAGCCGACCUGAGAGGGUGAUCGGCCACACUGGGACUGAGACACGGCCCAGACUCCUACGGGAGGCAGCAGUAGGGAAUCUUCCGCAAUGGACGAAAGUCUGACGGAGCAACGCCGCGUGAGUGAUGAAGGCUUUCGGGUCGUAAAACUCUGUUGUUAGGGAAGAACAAGUACAAGAGUAACUGCUUGUACCUUGACGGUACCUAACCAGAAAGCCACGGCUAACUACGUGCCAGCAGCCGCGGUAAUACGUAGGUGGCAAGCGUUAUCCGGAAUUAUUGGGCGUAAAGCGCGCGCAGGCGGUUUCUUAAGUCUGAUGUGAAAGCCCACGGCUCAACCGUGGAGGGUCAUUGGAAACUGGGGAACUUGAGUGCAGAAGAGAAAAGCGGAAUUCCACGUGUAGCGGUGAAAUGCGUAGAGAUGUGGAGGAACACCAGUGGCGAAGGCGGCUUUUUGGUC
rnacentral:rRNA from 1 species